rnacentral:tRNA from 1 species
AGAUAAUAACUUGAAUAAGUAUAUGUUUUGAAAACAUAAAAUAGGAAUUUUAUUAUUCUAUUAUCUU